rnacentral:rRNA from 1 species
GGAUGCGAUCAUACCAGCACUAAAGCACCGGAUCCCAUCAGAACUCCGAAGUUAAGCGUGCUUGGGCGAGAGUAGUACUAGGAUGGGUGACCUCCUGGGAAGUUCUCGUGUUGCAUUCC